GGGAUAUGAUGAGAUAAUACUUAGUCCGUGUUUCUGAUGACAUGUGAUUGCUGAUGUAUUGCUGAUCCC